CAUGGCCUCCCCGGGAAAGCCUUAACGGCGCGGGAUGGGGUCGCGGCCCAUUAGGUAGACGGCGGGGUAACGGCCCACCGUGCCCGCGAUGGGUAGCCGGACUGAGAGGUCGACCGGCCACAUUGGGACUGAGAUACGGCCCAGACUCCUACGGGAGGCAGCAGUGGGGAAUUUUGCGCAAUGGGGGGAACCCUGACGCAGCAACGCCGCGUGCGGGACGAAGGCCUUCGGGUUGUAAACCGCUUUCAGCAGGGAAGACAUAGACGGUACCUGCAGAAGAAGCUCCGGCUAACUACGUGCCAGCAGCCGCGGUAAUACGUAGGGGGCGAGCGUUAUCCGGAUUCAUUGGGCGUAAAGCGCGCGUAGGCGGCCGCCUAAGCGGAACCUCUAAUCCCGGGGCUCAACCUCGGGCCGGGUUCCGGACUGGGCGGCUCGAGUGCGGUAGAGGCAGGCGGAAUUCCCGGUGUAGCGGUGGAAUGCGCAGAUAUCGGGAAGAACACCGAUGGCGAAGGCAGCCUGCUGGGCCGCCACUGACGCUGAGGCGCGAAAGCUGGGGGAGCGAACAGGAUUAGAUACCCUGGUAGUCCCAGCCGUAAACGAUGGACGCUAGGUGUGGGGGGACCAUCCCCCCGUGCCGCAGCCAACGCAUUAAGCGUCCCGCCUGGGGAGUACGGCCGCAAGGCUAAAACUCAAAGGAAUUGACGGGGGCCCGCACAAGCAGCGGAGCAUGUGGCUUAAUUCGAAGCAACGCGAAGAACCUUACCAGGGCUUGACAUGCGAGUGAAGCCGCGGAGACGCGGUGGCCGAGAGGAGCUCGCGCAGGUGGUGCAUGGCAGUCGUCAGCUCGUGUCGUGAGAUGUUGGGUUAAGUCCCGCAACGAGCGCAACCCCCGUCCCGUGUUGCCAGCAUUGAGUUGGGGACUCGCGGGAGACUGCCAGGGAUAACCUGGAGGAAGGCGGGGAUGACGUCAAAUCAUCAUGCCCCUUAUGAUUUGGGCUACACACGUGCUACAAUGGCGUAAACAAAGGGAAGCGAGAUUGUGAGAUGGAGCAAAUCCCAAAAAUAACGUCCCAGUUCGGACUGUAGUCUGCAACCCGACUACACGAAGCUGGAAUCGCUAGUAAUCGCGGAUCAGAAUGCCGCGGUGAAUACGUUCCCGGGUCUUGCACACACCGCCCGUCA
rnacentral:rRNA from 1 species